rnacentral:rRNA from 1 species
UUGGAGGGCAAGUCUGGUGCCAGCAGCCGCGGUAAUUCCAGCUCCAAUAGCGUAUAUUAAAGUUGUUGCAGUUAAAAAGCUCGUAGUUGAAUUUCGGGAUCAAAUAAUCGGUCGUGCCUCCGGUACGUACUGGUUUUAUUGGUUCCUCCCUUCUGACGAACCAUGAUGUCAUUAAUUUGAUGUGGUGGAGAAUCAGGACUGUUACCUUGAAAAAAUUAGAGUGUUUAAAGCAGGCUAACGUUUGAAUACAUUAGCAUGGAAUAAUGAAAUAGGACGUUCGACCCUAUUUUGUUGGUUUCUAGGAUCGACGUAAUGAUUAAUAGGGAUAGUUGGGGGCAUUAGUAUUCAAUUGUCAGAGGUGAAAUUCUUGGAUUUAUUGAAGACUAACUACUGCGAAAGCAUUUGCCAAGGAUGUUUUCAUUAAUCAAGAACGAAAGUUAGGGGAUCGAAGACGAUCAGAUACCGUCGUAGUCUUAACCAUAAACUAUGCCGACUAGGGAUCGGAUGAUGUUAAUUUUUUAAUGACUCAUUCGGCGCCUUACGGGAAAC